rnacentral:rRNA from 1 species
UACGGGGGGGGCAAGCGUUGUUCGGAAUUACUGGGCGUAAAGGGCUCGUAGGCGGCCAACUAAGUCCGACGUGAAAUCCCCAGGCUUAACCUGGGAACUGCGUCGGAUACUGGAUGGCUUGAAUUCGGGAGAGGGAUGCAGAAUUCCAGGUGUAGCGGUGAAAUGCGUAGAUAUCUGGAGGAAUACCGGUGGCGAAGGCGGCAUCCUGGACCGACAUUGACGCUGAGGAGCGAAAGCUAGGGGAGCAAAGCGGG